rnacentral:lncRNA from 1 species
AAAUAGAAAAACAAAUUCACAGAACCCAGCUUGAGAACCCUGACCCUACAGACUAUUUAGUCCAGCCAAUUCAUUUUGCAUAUGAAGAAACCGAGGCCCACAGAGAUGAAGUGAUUUGCCCAAGGUCAAGAGGUAGUAUAGGACAGAGGCAAAAUUUGAAUCCAGGUCCUCUACUCAAAAAUCACCUCUAAGGAGACGAGGGCCUAGCCAGACACCAUGCCUAGCAUCUCUCUCAUUGUAAGCAUUUGAUUUGCAUUAAUUUAUUUCAUUUUUGAAAUGGAGGCUUUUUUGAAAAGCUGUCUUGUCCUAUUUUUGGCUGUUCCCUGUAGUGUUGUGCUUUGGGUGGGAAUCAUGAAAAACUCAAUUGGUUCAACCACAAGCAGCUUCCUUUGCAAUCUUGAAAAGUUCCCCAAUGAUAUAAGUGGUUGAAUAUUCUUUGGUGUUAUUUCUAGAAAAAUGCUAAUGAAGAGUGUCUACCUUAGUGUUCCUGGAAAGCCCGAUCCUUGCUAACAAGAAGCUCUAGCGUAGCAGAAAGAACACUAGAUUUGGAGUACAAGGACCUGGAUUUGCAUCCCAGCUGUUCUUCUUGCUACUUGCAUGUAACCUCCUCGUGAGAGACUUCCACAUCACAUGAAGGGCCUGGGCACACUACAGGGAAUCUAGUUUUUCUGGUCCAUUGCCCCCACUCAGAAAGUAUGAGAACUUUAUGAUCUGGCACCAUCCAGUUCAUAUUGUCAUCAAUUCCCCUUGUGAGCACAUAGUUCACAAAACUCAGAGAAUGAAAAUGAGCAUAGGCCCCAGAAGAGUUCAUGGCAAACAAAAUCUAUCAACAACUUGUUCACAGGGGUCUGUACAGCUUCCAACAUCUACCAUCAUGCCAGGAGGGGGAAUUUGCUUUUGAGCUUAUGGGCAUUGAUUGGUGCUGGCUCUCCCACCAGGAUGAUUGUUAGCGGAGAUUUCUACAGCACUUCAGGUCUAUAGGGCACCUUACACACAGAACCUCAUCUGGCCCAUACUACAACCCUGAAAUGGGUGCCAUAAUAUGAAGGUAAGUAUGCCUCAUAAAGUUAGUCUCUCUAAAUUCUAUAAGACUUGAGAAACUUCUGACCUAAACCAAAUUUGUACAUUCUUUGAAUAUUGGAUUUAUAAUACCUUUUAAAAGAAAUUAUUUUAGGUAUCAACAGCAGUUCUUUUGCAUUAUAUCUAAAAAUGCUUAUGUACAGCUAGAUCUCCAGGCAGAUUUGUGUGGGACUUCAUUAGACUAAUGGAUCUUCUCAAUGAAGGUGCUCCUGGUGAUUCUGUAUAUCACUGCCUUUCCAUCCUGUGUAACUCUUUUCCACGUCUAUAAACCCUUCACAGGAGGUGGAGCAAACAUGCUGGGGGACUU